AGCCGCGAAAAUUCGUCGUAUGGAACACAAUACCGACGAAAUUAUAAAACAGCUGAUAAAGUUGUUUACUUUUUGCUGAUUUGUUGACUACAAUGAAUCAGAGAAUUGUAAAGUUAAUUAAAAUUGUUAAAAUAAUAAACAUAAUGCAUAUUAUAGUAAAAGCUUAUCUGCUUGUGCGAAAACGUUUACGGAGAAGAUGGUGGGUACGGCCAGUGAACAUUAAAAGAAACACUGAAGGAUUCCAGAGAAUGGCUUUUACGGAGCUAAAAUUAAGAGAUGAAGAGCACUUCUUUAAAGCUACAAGGAUGACCGUGGAGAAGUUUAAUGCUCUUCUAGAUUUGCUUAAACCACGAUUGCAAAGAUUUUCAAAAAGAAAGCCAAUUGACGAGGAAACACGUUUGGGCUUAACUCUAAUGCUAGGAACACAAUUGGAGCGAACGACGAAUUUCGCCCUACGCGGCGACAAAAUGAGCCGCGAAAAUUCGUCGUAUGGAACACAAUACCGACGAAAUUAUAAAACAGCUGAUGAAGUUGUUUACUUUUUGCUCAUUUGUUGACUACAAUGAAUUAUACAAGAACACAUAAUUCUUUACGUUCUCUGUUAUAAUUUCACUUAUGUCCAUCUUCUCUAUUAUAAAUUCACUGAUAUCCAUCUUCACUCAGGCGCAAGUACUCAAAUAAAUAAACAAAUUAAUUAUGUUUUUUUUAUACGAGUAACAGAUAGUAGAGUGACCAUAACAAAUUUUAAAGUAAAAAGUAACUUUAUUUACUAAAACACAUAAAAUUCGUACAAGUAUGGCCACCUUGUACUGUUUUGUUCGCCGGUCGCCGGCGUAUGAAAUAGAAAUAAAGCUAAUUGAGUUCGCGGCGACCGACGAAAUUUUCGCCGGUGCCGUGAUUGUGUGCACUUCCAUAUACACAUAUGUGUUUUAUUUUUGACGACGAACAUACGCCGCGAAAAAAUUCGUCGUUCGCUCCAAUUGUGUUCCUAGCAUAAUAUACCUAGCUCAUGGUUGCAGUACACAGUUUUUGGCAUGGACAUACAAAAUGGGUGUUUCGACUGUGAGAAAGAUAAUUUAUGAAACUUGCGAUGCGAUCUGGAGCGAGCUCCAUGAGGUAUAUGUUUCCCAACCUAAUCACCACAAGUGGAAAAGCAUUGCUGAAAGAUUUUACACGAAAACAGGCAUGCCGCAUUGUGUUGGGGCUAUUGAUGGCAAGCAUGUCAACAUCUUUUGUCCAAAAAAUAGUGGUUCACUUUUUUAUAAUUAUAAAAAAAGUUUUAGCAUUGUGCUAAUGGCGGUAUGUGACGCGGAUUAUAAUUUUAUGUUUGUUGAUGUUGGAGCUUUUGGCAGCCAAAGUGAUGGUGGAGUCUUUGCAAGAAGUUCGUUUGGAAAAAUGAUUUUGAGAAAUCAAAUUAAUCUUCCCCCUGAUGAUAAACUACCUGGCACUGAUAAAACGUUUCCGUAUUUCUUUGUGGGAGACAAUGCUUUCCCUUUGAAGAGAAAUUUAAUGAGGCCAUAUCCUGGACGAAGCUUGUCUGCCGCUAAACAAAAUUUUAACAAAAAGUUAUCUGCCGCUCGUGUAUACAUUGAAAACUCUUUUGGCAUUUUAACAAACAGGUGGAGGAUUUUACAUACAAACAUUCAAGUGUCACCCAAAAACGCAGAUAAAAUAGUUUUAGCAACGGUAGUUCUUCAUAAUUACCUAAUGUUAGAUAAAACCUGCGGAUAUUUUGAAGAAAGUUUGGUGGAUCACGAAGAAAAUGGAGUAAUUAUUCGUGGUACAUGGAGGCAGGCAUCAGAAUCCCAGCCUUCUAUCCGAAUUUCCCAUGCCAACCGUUCAUCAGCAAGUGCUUUUGCUGUGAGAGACGAAUUAACAAACCACUUUUUUGAAAUUCAUUCCUGAAAAAUUUCUUCGAAUUCAAUUUCAUUAAUAUUUUAGUAAUCAAAAACAUAAAAUAGUAAUAAAACAAAACCAA